GAAGCUGCGGAAGGAUCAUUUACUGAAUUGUCCAAACGGGUUGUUUGCUUGGCCCUCAUAGGGGGCAUGUGCACGCUCUGUUUACACAUCCACUCACACCUGUGCACCCUCUGUAGUUCUAUGGUCUGGGGGACCCUGUCUUCCUUCUGUGGUUCUACUUCUUUACACACACACUGUAAUAAAGUUUUAUGGAAUGUACAUCGCGUCUAACGCAAUACAAUACAACUUUCAGCAACGGAUCUCUUGGCUCUCGCAUCGAUGAAGAACGCAGCGAAAUGCGAUAAGUAAUGUGAAUUGCAGAAUUCAGUGAAUCAUCGAAUCUUUGAACGCACCUUGCGCCCCUUGGCUAUUCCGAGGGGCAUGCCUGUUUGAGUAUCAUGAACACCUCAACUCUCAUGGUUUGCCAUGAUGAGUUGGACUCUGGGGGUUUUGCUGGCCUGUGGUCGGCUCCUCUUAAAUUAAUCAGCCUCCCAGUGUUUGGUGGCAUCAUGGGUGUGAUAAAUAUCUACGCUCGCUGUUGUCUGCCAGGUAACCUUUGGUAACAAAGGUUUGCUGGAGCUCACAGAUGUCUCUCCUCAGCGAGGACAACUUUUUUAACGUUCGAUCUCAAAUCAGGUAGGACUACCCGCUGAACUUAAGCAUAUCUAAAGGCG
rnacentral:rRNA from 1 species